UACGUAGGGUGCAAGCGUUAAUCGGAAUUACUGGGCGUAAAGCGUGCGCAGGCGGUUGUGUAAGACAGAUGUGAAAUGCCCGGGCUUAACCUGGGAACUGCAUUUGUGACUGCACGGCUAGAGUGUGUCAGAGGGGGGUAGAAUUCCACGUGUAGCAGUGAAAUGCGUAGAUAUGUGGAGGAAUACCGAUGGCGAAGGCAGCCCCCUGGGAUAACACUGACGCUCAUGCACGAAAGCGUGGGGAGCAAACAGGAUUAGAUACCCUGGUAGUCCACGCCCUAAACGAUGUCAACUAGUUGUCGGGUCUUAAUUGACUUGGUAACGCAGCUAACGCGUGAAGUUGACCGCCUGGGGAGUACGGUCGCAAGAUUAAA
rnacentral:rRNA from 1 species